rnacentral:rRNA from 1 species
GAUGAACGCUGGCGGCGUGCCUAAUACAUGCAAGUCGAGCGAACAGAUAAGGAGCUUGCUCCUUUGACGUUAGCGGCGGACGGGUGAGUAACACGUGGGUAACCUACCUAUAAGACUGGGAUAACUUCGGGAAACCGGAGCUAAUACCGGAUAACAUUUGGAACCGCAUGGUUCUAAAGUGAAAGAUGGUUUUGCUAUCACUUAUAGAUGGACCCGCGCCGUAUUAGCUAGUUGGUAAGGUAACGGCUUACCAAGGCAACGAUACGUAGCCGACCUGAGAGGGUGAACGGCCACACUGGAACUGAGACACGGUCCAGACUCCUACGGGAGGCAGCAGUAGGGAAUCUUCCGCAAUGGGCGAAAGCCUGACGGAGCAACGCCGCGUGAGUGAUGAAGGGUUUCGGCUCGUAAAACUCUGUUAUUAGGGAAGAACAAACGUGUAAGUAACUGUGCACGUCUUGACGGUACCUAAUCAGAAAGCCACGGCUAACUACGUG